rnacentral:rRNA from 1 species
ACGUAGGGGGCAAGCGUUGUCCGGAAUUACUGGGUGUAAAGGGUGUGCAGGCGUCUUUUUAAGUUGGUUGUGAAAACCCGGAGCUCAACUCCGGAACUGCAGCCAAUACUGAAAAGAUCGAGGGUAUGAGAAGGAAGCGGAAUUCUCGGUGUAGCGGUGAAAUGCGUAGAUAUCGAGAGGAACACCUGCGGCGAAAGCGGCUUCCUAACAUACUUCUGACGCUCAUACACGAAAGCUAGGGGAGCAAACAGGAUUAGAUACCCUGGUAGUCCUAGCCAUAAACGAUGAAUACUAGGUGUUGGAGGAUUCACUCCUUCAGCGUCGCAGCUAACGCGUUAAGUAUUCCACCUGGAAAGUACGGUCGCAAGGCUG